rnacentral:tRNA from 1 species
GACUACGUGCCUGAGUCUGGACGAAAGGGACGCUCUGCAAAAGCGUUUGGGUAACCUCAUCGUGAGUUCGAAUCUCACCGUAGUUU